UUCGUUUUUUCUUGAAUAACCUAUUCAAAAUAAAAUUUAUCGAUAUUUGAAUAAUUCAUACUUUGCUUACUGUUCAAUAUCUCACACAAGUACACAACGUUGUUUCUCUUAUUCAACUCCUCAAGAAAUAGUACACGUCUCUUCACUGUCUCAAAGUGGAUCGUGAAAUCUUGAAAACAGAACCUACCCCAACGAUGUUACGCUUCACAUGUUCAAUGAACUCACGAGAACCGCUUCAAGGGGUUUAAUUUCGGCCUGACUGAUGUGUAUGGUAACCCAUCCCCACUCGGAGAAAUUAUACGGUUAGAUAUAUAUACAAUCCAUUUUGAUGAUAUCAAGGUUUUCUUUGGCUGUCGGUAGGUGUGGCCAAUUCCAUUUGAAAACCGACGUCGCAUCGCACGAAUGGUAACAUCGAGAUUCAUCAAAGAUGCAAAUUUCAUUGGAAUUUUUGAGUAUUGGAUUUGAGGUUCUCUUUGAAGUUCUAUGCAAAGACGGAAAGAUGGCACUCGCAGCAGUACAACGGCAAAAGAUCUUAUCUAUUUGCUUUGUGCAAUUUAGUGUCGCGUUGUUAGAAGAUCUAAUUUGUUAACGUAGUACUUUUAGGUAAUAAACGUGUCUAUUUCUAUGAA